UACAGAGGGUGCGAGCGUUGUCCGGAAUCACUGGGCGUAAAGGGCGCGUAGGCGGCCUGAUAAGUAGGGGGUGAAAUCCUGUGGCUUAACUGCAGGGCUGCCUCCUAGACUGUUAGGCUCGAGCACGGUAGAGGCAGAUGGAAUUCCCGGUGUAGCGGUGGAAUGCGUAGAGAUCGGGAGGAACAUCGGUGGCGAAGGCGGUCUGCUGGGCCAAGACUGACGCUGAGGCGCGACAGCGUGGGGAGCAAACAGG
rnacentral:rRNA from 1 species